rnacentral:tRNA from 1 species
UAAAUUAAAGCCAAAGAAGAGGCGUUUUAUUGUUAAUAAAAUUAAUGAAUUUUAAUGUUCUAAUUUAU